AAAAAACAUUGCCAAGUCUUUGUUUUCUCUUUUCUUUUCUCUCUUCCAAGUUUUAAGUUUCAAAGGGAGUAAGAAUUUGGAAUUGCAAAACCAAGAAACCUCCACUCAAACCAAGCAUCAUUUGAAGAGGAGGAAGAUUUUGGAGAAAAGCUUCAAAGUUGCAGUUAAAUUGUUCAAUCAUUAAGCGGUGAAAUUGGUGAGACUAAAGCCAUGGGAAAGACUUAGCUCAUUUGUUUUAAACAGAGUCGCCACCACGCUUUAUUGUUUCCAAAAGGAAUGGGAGAAAGAGCGAAUAAAACUCACAGAAGUUUUUAAAAUCAAAACUAAUAAACUUAUCAGAGAUUUGGGUAAGGGGGUUUGUUAUACAAUGGGAAGGUUUUAAGAACCCCUCAUAUCCAUGGUAUCCCAUGGAAACCUCUUUGAAAAUGUUAUUGUUUUUCUGUACAUCUAUUUGAAAAAAAAGCAUAUGUGAACUUGUUUAAAAAGAGUGUGGGGAUGUGAAAAGAAGUAUUUGAAAGUGAGCUCGAUAAGACAUUGCAUAUUAGGCCUACAUAUCCCUUUUAAAGAAAAGGGAAGUCAGAGAUUUUGUAGUUCCCCUUAAAAGGAAAAUAAAAAGGGCCAAAGUGGUUAAAAUGUCAAGUG